rnacentral:rRNA from 1 species
ACCAGGGUAUGUAACGUUGAGUGAAGGGUAUGGAUGUGAUCUGUAUUCUGAUAGCGUUACGCGUGGUGCAUGGCCGUUCUUAACACGUGGGGUGACUUGUCUGGUUAAAUCCGAUAACGCGUGAGACCCUGGAAAUUGACGAUACUUGACAAGAGUAGGGAAGCUCGGGUCGAUAACAGGUCUGUGAUGCCCGUAGUUAUUCUGGGCGCCACGCGCAUUACAGUGGGAGAGGAUACGUGAAACGGAACUCUCUUGCGGUUGGGAUUGACGUUUGUAAAUACGUCAUGAACGCGGAAUUCCUAGUAAUUUGUUGUCAUUAACGACAGAUGAAUGAGUCCCUGUUCUUUGUACACACCGCCCGUCGUUAUCUAAGAUGAAUGUGCGGAUGAAGUUGGUUAGGCCAAAAGAAUCCGUGCGAUUAGAUUGGAUACAAGUCGUAACAAGGUUGCGGUAGGAGAACCUGCCGCAGGAUCAAUAAAAAGAUCAUUGGGUUUUUAUAAUGUGGGUAACACAUUGCGUUCGAAGGAUCGAUUGGUUUUGGUGACGAUGACGAUUGUUGCUGUAUGCGAUAAUGAGUGACAACAGCCUUGUUUAACUCGUUAUCUAAUUAUAGAUGCCAUCUAUGAUUACCCCUUGGACUUAAGCAUAUCAUUAAAGGGGAGGAAAAGGAAACAACUGUGAUUUCGA